CGGCGUGCUUGAUACAUGCAAGUCAAGGAGAACAUUAUCUUCGGAUAAUAAGUAAACUGGCGAACGGGUGAGUAACGCGUAAACAACUUGCCUCAGAGAUUGGGACAACAUUGGGAAACCAGUGCUAAUACCAAAUAAUGCAGCGGGCUCUUCGGAGCACAGUUGUUAAAGUAGGCUUCGGCUUACACUUUGAGAUAGGUUUGCGUCCGAUUAGUUAGUUGGUAGGGUAAAAGCCUACCAAGACCAAGAUCGGUAGCUGGUCUGAGAGGAUGAUCAGCCACACUGGAAUUGAGAUACGGUCCAGACUCCUACGGGAGGCAGCAGUAAGGAAUUUUGCACAAUGGGCGAAAGCCUGAUGCAGCAACGCCGCGUGAACGAUGAAGUUUUUAGGAAUGUAAAGUUCUGUCGUAUGGGAAGAGAUCUUUCGAAUGUUAAUACCAUUCGUUAAUGACGGUACCAUACAAGAAAGCACCGGC
rnacentral:rRNA from 1 species